AGGACGAACGCUGGCGGCGUGCUUAACACAUGCAAGUCGAGCGAGGCCCUUCUUCGGAAGGUGUCCGAGCGGCGAACGGGUGAGUAACACGUGGGCAACCUGCCCUCAGCUCUGGGAUAACCCCCGGGAAACCGGGGCUAAUACCGGAUAUGACUUCGAUCGACAUCGACCGAAGUGGAAAGAAUUUCGGCUGAGGAUGGGCCCGCGGCCUAUCAUGCUUGAUGGUGAGGUAACGGCCCACCAUGGCGACGACGGGUA
rnacentral:rRNA from 1 species